rnacentral:misc_RNA from 1 species
UUAAGUUCAGCGGGUAUCCCUACCUGAUCCGAGGUCAACCAUAAGAAAAUUUGGGGUUGCUGGCCAGCGGCCGCCCGGGUCCAACAGCGAGAAGAAUUACUACGCUGAGGACGCGGACGCGCCGCCACUAAUUUUGAGGCCCGCCGUUGCCGGCGCGGCCCAAGACAAGCAGAGCUUGAGGGUUGAAAUGACGCUCGAAC